UGCGCAGGCGGUUUGCUAAGACAGGUGUGAAAUCCCCGGGCUUAACCUGGGAACUGCGCCUGUAACUGGCAAGCUAGAGUGUGGCAGAGGGGGGUGGAAUUCCAAGUGUAGCAGUGAAAUGCGUAGAUAUUUGGAGGAACACCAGUGGCGAAGGCGACAUACUGGUCCGUUACUGACGCUGAGGCUCGAAAGCGUGGGGAGCAAACA
rnacentral:rRNA from 1 species